rnacentral:rRNA from 1 species
AACGNGGCGGUGCUACCUCGCAAGUCGAACGAUGCUUUCGGGCUAGAGGCGCACGGUAGCGUAACGCGUGGGAUCUAGCCUUAGGUUCGGAUAACAGCUAGAAUAGACUGCUAAUACCGGAUGAUGACUUAAGUCCAAGAUUAUCGCCUGAGGAUGAGCCCGCGUAGGAUUAGCUAGUUGGNGAGGUAAAGGCGCACCAAGGCGACGAUCCUUAGCUGGUUUGAGAGGAUGAUCAGCCACACUGGGACUGAGACACGGCCCAGACUUCCUACGGGAGGCAGCAGUGGGGAAUAUUGGACAAUGGGCGCAAGCCUGAUCCAGCAAUGCCGCGUGAGUGAUGAAGGCCUUAGGGUUGUAAAGCUCUUUACCCGUGAUGAUAAUGACAGUAGCGGGAGAAUAAGCCCCGGCUAACUUCGUGCCAGCAGCCGNGGUAUACGGAGGGGGCUAGCGUUGUCGGAAU